GGCUCCGUAGUUCAACGGAUAGAAUGUAGGUUUCCGGUACCUAUGAUAGUGGUUCGAUUCCACUCGGGGCUA
rnacentral:tRNA from 1 species